AAUAAACCAAUUUUUUACUUUUUAUCUUUAAUUUUUGACUCUUCGUCUUAUUUAAAUUUUUUUAAUUGAUAUUUUUAUUUUUAUUAGAUGAUAAAUCAUGAAUAGUACUUUACGUGUGACUAAUUAUUUUCUAAUUUUCUAAAAAAAUUUAAAAUAAGACGGAUGAUCAAACGUUGGACAUAGAAACAAACAG
rfam:Oryza brachyantha chromosome 1, whole genome shotgun sequence.